UACGUAGGGUGCAAGCGUUGUCCGGAAUUAUUGGGCGUAAAGAGCUCGUAGGCGGUUUGUCGCGUCUGCUGUGAAAUCUCAAGGCUCAACCUUGAGCUUGCAGUGGGUACGGGCAGAAUAGAGUGUGGUAGGGGAGACUGGAAUUCCUGGUGUAGCGGUGAAAUGCGCAGAUAUCAGGAGGAACACCGAUGGCGAAGGCAGGUCGUCUGGGCCGGGAACUGACGCUGAGGAGCGAAAGCGUGGGGAGCGAACAGG
rnacentral:rRNA from 1 species